rfam:Biomphalaria glabrata isolate BB02 unplaced genomic scaffold LGTN_random_Scaffold505, whole genome shotgun sequence.
UGGCUUUGCGGUAAAGCGCUUGGCUUCUGAACCAGGAGUCCCGGGUUCAAAUCCCGG